UACGGAGGGUGCGAGCGUUGUCCGGAAUCACUGGGCGUAAAGGGCGCGUAGGUGGCGGAGCAAGUCAACGGUGAAAGCUCGACGCUCAACGUCGAGUCGGCCGUCGAGACUGCUUUGCUCGAGCACUGUAGAGGCAGAUGGGAAUUCCGGGUGUAGCGGUGGAAUGCGUAGAGAUCCGGAAGAACACCGGUGGCGAAGGCGGUCUGCUGG
rnacentral:rRNA from 1 species